UCUGAUGUGCGUCGUUCGUCACGUAGUUCAUAUAGGUUAACAAUUUCGUUCGUGUUAAUUAUUUAUUGCUCUUGUGAAAAUGUGCCUCUGGUAUCGUCAAGAAGUCUUAUAAAAUGGUGCUUGUUGACCAACCGACGAAUCAGAUCGAUCUGCUCGAGGGCCAGCUGGACCGAGUCGAGAUACUGAGAGGAGCAAGACGGCGAAUGUAAUCGACACGGUAGCAGCGAGUUCCCUCGUCAAUCGUUCGGUCGGACAAUAGGUUCGGGUCUACGAAGACGUAGCGUAAUUGCAACUCUAUUGUUAUCAACUGCGAGACGUGUCCACCGUUGGAAGACGAGUUAACGCGACUCCGGACGUGAAACGUGGCCAAGCUUCCUGCCACCUACCCGGUGAGUGGCGUUAAAAGCGGCUGAGAACUUUACUCGUCAGGAGGCAUACUGGAGAGAGAAAAGAAGAAGAAGAAGAAGAAGAAGAAUCUUAUCCGGCGUCGGGUGAAAGUAACUUCGAUUUAAGGGGCAGAAAAAUCACAGAUUUACGAAAGUAAUGGUGAAACGAUGCGAGGUGUCUGAUUUAUGAUGCCGUGAGAUCUAGGCAAACUUUGAGGACCUUCCUUCCUAUUCGUUGGCGGCCCCGGCGCAGAAUUCAAUCAUCAAUUCCGACACGUCGGAGAAUUCGUCCGAGCAGUGACGGCGAUCAAAACUUUCUCGCGAUCGUUGCCGAAAGAGGAAAUCUGAAAUCGGGAUCAGCGAAUGAAGAAGAGCCGCGCAGAAACGGAAAGGAAUUUCAAUCUAGCCGCAGUAGCCGAGCAGACAACGCGACGGAGACGUUUCCAUUUGGAAACAAUGACCGCGAUUCCGGCCAACUUUUUGACGACUUCGACAGUUAUUACGACUCCUUCCUCCCUUAUGAAACCUCGUCACGAUCGCGAUAAUUUUCAACGAACGCGUCUAAACAUUUUCGCAAAACAAUUCUCGUAUAAUGAUUGAUUAUUAAACGAACGCGAUUAAUUAUUAAUUACAAAUACCAUGAUCAUGAU